rnacentral:rRNA from 1 species
AGGACAAACGCUGGCGGCGUACCUAAGACAUGCAAGUCGAACGGAGUUCUCACUUUCGGGUGGGAGCUGAGUGGCGAACGGGUGAGUAACACGUGGGAACCUGUCGCGCAGUGGGGGGAUAACGCGGGGAAACCGGCGCUAAGACCGCAUGUGGUUCUCCUGUUGAAGGAGGAAGAAAACCGUGGAGACACGGUGCUGUGUGAGGGGCCCGCGGCCGAUUAGCUGGUUGGUGGGGUAACGGCCUACCAAGGCAUCGAUCGGUAGCUGGUCUGAGAGGAUGUCCAGCCACACUGGGACUGAGACACGGCCCAGACUCCUACGGGAGGCAGCAGUUAGGAAAUUUUCCCAAUGGGCGCAAGCCUGAGGGAGUAACGCCGCGUGGGGGAUGACGGCUUUCGGGUUGUAAACCCUUUUCUGUGGGACGAGUAGAAGACGGUACCACAGGAAGAAGCCUCGGCUAACUACGUGCCAGCAGCCGC